rnacentral:ncRNA from 1 species
GAGCAUUUCCAGCAAAAGUGCGAAGCGUCUACGCGGGGAAAUCAGUCCCCUGGACUGUUUUCUGAUCCCGCUUCGAUACGUCGGAUAAUGCGUACAAACAAAGAAAGAAAGCGGCUCCAUCGACCUCGUUUUAACCGGAACCUAUCUGAAAGGAUGAUUUGGAUUUUUCUAUGAACUUCCGCAAGUUACGACACAAAUUUAUUCGCAAAUCCGCAUAAGGCAGGUU